CUUCAACUGGGGAUGUUAGAAUUAGCCGCUUAUAAUUUCUAUUUGAGCCAACGUCCAUCCCCUUUGUCCAUCUCGGUCGCACUAGUCAACAUGUGACCAUCGUUUGCCCAAGAGUUUAUUCUAAAACUAUCCUUGUUAGCGGGAGACCUUAGGAUGGUAGGGUGGUUGGCACCAACUACUUGGUUCACAUUAUUGUCUUCCCGAGUAAAAUGAUGGUGGAUAAAAGAUCAACCAAUAUACAGUAAUAAAGAAGAAGAGUGAGAGGGAGGCACCGUCAUGCAUCAUACCUCCAAUCUAAUGUCGCAAUUUAAGAAUCGUGGCAAUCACCGUAUGCUUGUAGAAAAUUUUUAUUACAAACACGCCAGACAUCUUAUCACGAUAUCAUAAAUAAACAGCAAAAUCAAUUUAAAUAAUU
rnacentral:lncRNA from 1 species